AACGUUUCGGAUUAUGAAUGUUAAAAUUAUUUCUACUGUUGAAUGGUGCUGUGUUUGUUUAUUUAUUAUGAAUGGUUUUCACAGAGGGACAUAACCAUGUGCUUGAAUGAUUAUAAAAUAAAAGAUUCACUCCAUCAAAUUGUUUCCACAUCUUACAAAUGUUCAGUGUGUUCACCAUUGGUCACGUGGUACACAUCUGUCCUAUAGGCAUUUUGGCACACGUUCUACUCAGCAUGUUGGGGGGGUGUGGCAAUGGCGGCUGUGGUGCGGUGUUGCGGACUCUGGAUGUCUUGUGGUGGGUGUGGUGCAGAGACUUUGUCCUCCACCAUAAUGCUGCAAGAAGUCACAUCGUGUCGGGUCUGGUGACCUUGGUGGCCGGCGUGUGGGUGCCUGGUCGUGUGCUG
rnacentral:lncRNA from 1 species